UCUCACCUAGCCACUUGUCAUUUUCUAAUUAGUUCUUAGUGUGUUUCAAUUUUUUAACAACAAAUUAGAAAAUGACUAGUGAUUAGUUGAGA
rnacentral:pre_miRNA from 1 species